rnacentral:rRNA from 1 species
GACUACUGGGGUAUCUAAUCCUGUUUGCUCCCCACGCUUUCGCGCCUCAGCGUCAGUUGUCGUCCAGCAAUCCGCCUUCGCCACUGGUGUUCCUCCUAAUAUCUACGCAUUUCACCGCUACACUAGGAAUUCCGAUUGCCUCUCCGAUACUCAAGAAAAACAGUUUCAAAUGCAGUUUGGAGGUUGAGCCUCCAGAUUUCACAUCUGACUUGCCUUCCCGGCUACACGCCCUUUACACCCAGUAAAUCCGGACAACGCUUGCCACCUACGUAUUACCGCGGCUGCUGGCACGUAGUUAGCCGUGGCUUAUUCGCCAGGUACAGUCUUCUACUCUUCCCUGACAAAAGAAGUUUACAACCCGAAAGCCUUCUUCCUUCACGCGGCGUUGCUGGGUCAGGCUUGCGCCCAUUGCCCAAUAUUCCCCACUGCAGCCCCCCGUAGG